rnacentral:rRNA from 2 species
CAAGUCGAACGAACUCUGGUAUUGAUUGGUGCUUGCAUCAUGAUUUACAUUUGAGUGAGUGGCGAACUGGUGAGUAACACGUGGGAAACCUGCCCAGAAGCGGGGGAUAACACCUGGAAACAGAUGCUAAUACCGCAUAACAACUUGGACCGCAUGGUCCGAGUUUGAAAGAUGGCUUCGGCUAUCACUUUUGGAUGGUCCCGCGGCGUAUUAGCUAGAUGGUGGGGUAACGGCUCACCAUGGCAAUGAUACGUAGCCGACCUGAGAGGGUAAUCGGCCACAUUGGGACUGAGACACGGCCCAAACUCCUACGGGAGGCAGCAGUAGGGAAUCUUCCACAAUGGACGAAAGUCUGAUGGAGCAACGCCGCGUGAGUGAAGAAGGGUUUCGGCUCGUAAAACUCUGUUGUUAAAGAAGAACAUAUCUGAGAGUAACUGUUCAGGUAUUGACGGUAUUUAACCAGAAAGCCACGGCUAACUACGUGCCAGCAGCCGCGGUAAUACGUAGGUGGCAAGCGUUGUCCGGAUUUAUUGGGCGUAAAGCGAGCGCAGGCGGUUUUUUAAGUCUGAUGUGAAAGCCUUCGGCUCAACCGAAGAAGUGCAUCGGAAACUGGGAAACUUGAGUGCAGAAGAGGACAGUGGAACUCCAUGUGUAGCGGUGAAAUGCGUAGAUAUAUGGAAGAACACCAGUGGCGAAGGCGGCUGUCUGGUCUGUAACUGACGCUGAGGCUCGAAAGUAUGGGUAGCAAACAGGAUUAGAUACCCUGGUAGUCCAUACCGUAAACGAUGAAUGCUAAGUGUUGGAGGGUUUCCGCCCUUCAGUGCUGCAGCUAACGCAUUAAGCAUUCCGCCUGGGGAGUACGGCCGCAAGGCUGAAACUCAAAGGAAUUGACGGGGGCCCGCACAAGCGGUGGAGCAUGUGGUUUAAUUCGAAGCUACGCGAAGAACCUUACCAGGUCUUGACAUACUAUGCAAAUCUAAGAGAUUAGACGUUCCCUUCGGGGACAUGGAUACAGGUGGUGCAUGGUUGUCGUCAGCUCGUGUCGUGAGAUGUUGGGUUAAGUCCCGCAACGAGCGCAACCCUUAUUAUCAGUUGCCAGCAUUAAGUUGGGCACUCUGGUGAGACUGCCGGUGACAAACCGGAGGAAGGUGGGGAUGACGUCAAAUCAUCAUGCCCCUUAUGACCUGGGCUACACACGUGCUACAAUGGAUGGUACAACGAGUUGCGAACUCGCGAGAGUAAGCUAAUCUCUUAAAGCCAUUCUCAGUUCGGAUUGUAGGCUGCAACUCGCCUACAUGAAGUCGGAAUCGCUAGUAAUCGCGGAUCAGCAUGCCGCGGUGAAUACGUUCCCGGGCCUUGUACACACCGCCCGUCACACCAUGAGAGUUUGUAACACCCAAAGUCGGUGGGGU